rnacentral:RNase_P_RNA from 1 species
GAAGCUGACCAGACAGUCGCCGCUUCGUCGUCGUCCUUUCGGGGAGACGGGCGGAGGGGAGGAAAGUCCGGGCUCCAUAGGGCAGGGUGCCAGGUAACGCCUGGGGGGGAAACCCACGACCAGUGCAACAGAGAGCAGACCGCCGAUGGCCCACGUAAGUGGGAUCAGGUAAGGGUGAAAGGGUGCGGUAAGAGCGCACCGCGCGGCUGGUAACAGUCCGUGGCACGGUAAACUCCACCCGGAGCAAGGCCAAAUAGGGGUUCAUAAGGUACGGCCCGUACUGAACCCGGGUAGGCUGCUUGAGCCAGUGAGCGAUUGCUGGCCUAGAUGAAUGACUGUCCACGACAGAACCCGGCUUAU